UUUCGUUUCACUGACCGGCCGCACUCACAACUGUCCUAAAAAAAUGCAUAUUUUUUUCGGAAACAUUUUAUUGUCCAGCUUAUUUCUGUUUAUUCCGAUGUUUUUGCAUAUAACGAAUUCAGCCGAUGAUUUUGCUGACGAUCUUCUACCCGAGAAUAAUGAAGAUCUAAUUGAACAUCCUAUGUCUGGAACCCACAAUCGGAAUGUCAAACGUGAUGCACUACUUGUGAAUAUACUUAUUGAUAUCAUGGAUAGAUUUUAUGUAUCGAAAAAAAUUUAUGCGAAGCGCCCGCAAGACGAAGAAUCCAUUGCACGCGAUAAAAUUGGCGAGUGAUUCAGUUCGAAUGCAUUUAAAUGGAUUCUAUUAUUUGAGUAGAUUAGAACGAUUUACACUAUAUUUCAAACAAUAUGAUUGAAUAAAAUAUUCCGUUUGGCCAA